AUUCAUGUAGUUUAAAAACAAAACAUUUCAUUUUCAAUGAAAAAAUAAGAUACACUUCUUGAAUA
rnacentral:tRNA from 1 species